rnacentral:tmRNA from 1 species
GGGGUUGUACUGGUUUCGACGGGGGUCAUGCAGCUGGUGAAGCUAUCCGCACGCAAUGCGUCAAAUGGCAAACUUAAAAUUAAACGCUGAAGAUAAUUUAGCAUACGCAGCCUAAUGGCUGCUGUCAGACUUCGUGCACUCACACAUGAAGACCCUGGCAUCGACAAUGUGAGAAACGACAUGCAGUAAGCUUUGCCUGUAUGGGCGUAUCAUGAAGCUACUAAAACCGUAAGGGUGUCUGUUCCCGUGCGGCGGAGGGAAUGUCAAAGAACCGACUAUGAUAGUAGAAGAACAGGGAAUUGAUUUUCGGACAGGGGUUCGAUUCCCCUCAGCUCCAU